CCUACGGGAGGCAGCAGUGGGGAAUUUUGGACAAUGGGCGCAAGCCUGAUCCAGCAAUGCCGCGUGAGUGAAGAAGGCCUUCGGGUUGUAAAGCUCUUUUGUCAGGGAAGAAACGGUGUUUUCUAAUACAGAGCGCUAAUGACGGUACCUGAAGAAUAAGCACCGGCUAACUACGUGCAAGCAGCCGCGGUAAUACGUAGGGUGCAAGCGUUAAUCGGAAUUACUGGGCGUAAAGCGUGCGCAGGCGGUUUUGUAAGUUUGUCGUGAAAUCCCCGGGCUCAACCUGGGAAUGGCGAUGAAGACUGCAAGGCUAGAGUUUGGCAGAGGGGGGUAGAAUUCCACGUGUAGCAGUGAAAUGCGUAGAUAUGUGGAGGAACACCGAUGGCGAAGGCAGCCCCCUGGGUCAAAACUGACGCUCAUGCACGAAAGCGUGGGGAGCAAACAGGAUUAGAUACCCUGGUAGUCCACGCCCUAAACGAUGUCUACUAGUUAGUCGGGUCUUAAUUGACUUGGUAACGCAGCUAACGCGUGAAGUAGACCGCCUGGGGAGUACGGGUCGCAAGAUUAAAACCGUCAAAGGAAUUGACGG
rnacentral:rRNA from 1 species